CGGCUGUCAAAAUGACCACACUUGCUUGUCGUUAGCAUCAAAGCUAACCGUUUGUCACGUUCACUUACACUUGUAAGCGCUACACUAAGCACACACAGAGAGAUGCGCUUCACAGCAUUAAACAUUGCGUUUAAAAUAUUAUAUUUGUAUUCACAUAUUAACAGUGCAAUUGGAACUAAACAAAAGAAAAGUGGCGAAAGUGUUAAAACUAGAUAGUUCAAGUGCAAGUCGUGCGACGUUCGCGUAUCAUCGGAAAUUCCGUUUUAGAAUGACGUCACAGAAAACUAUAAGGCAAUUUAACGUACAAAAUUAAACGGACUCACCCCGAAAACGCUUAUUGUAAUCAAAGUGAUUGGUUAUCGAUCAAAUGUCUCUUUUAAGACGAAUGAUUGGUGAUAUUGGUUAUCGAUCUUCAAAGAUAAAGGACUCAUCGGUGACGUCACAUGCAUGAAAGACAAGCACAUUUGCCCAUUGUUAUGGACCAGUGCAAAAACAAGCACGGCAACGUUUGCUUGUACUUUUAGUAGUUCUGAUACAACGAAACACCAAAAAGUCAACAAAGGAAAAGACGCCUGAGAUGUCGGUUUUAGUUUAUUGGGUCUACAGGAGAUUUAGUAAUGUUUUGCAGUACUUAGGUCUGUACAAAAAGAGGGGCAAGUUGGUCUUCCUGGGCUUGGACAAUGCUGGCAAAACUACUUUACUGCACAUGUUGAAGGACAACCAUCUUUGCCAGCACGUUCCCACACAGCAUCCAACGUCUGAAGAGCUGACGAUUGGCGGCAUGAAGUUUACCACCUUCGAUCUGGGAGGACACGUGCAAGCUCGACGUUUGUGGAGGAACUACCUGCCCGCCGUGAACGCGGUGGUCUUCAUAGUGGACUGCGCCGACCACAGCAGGCUAGACGAGUCCAAGACAGAGCUGGAUGCCCUGCUGGCAGACGACACUAUCGCCAACCUGCCCGUGAUGGUGCUGGGUAAUAAAAUCGAUCGUCCGGAGGCCAUCGGCGAAGCCUGCAUGCGAAGAGUUUUCACACUGGACGGAAAAGUCACCGGAAAGGGAAAUGUGAAAAUUAAGGAGUGCAACGUGCGACCAUUAGAGGUGUUCAUGUGCAGCGUGUUGAAGAAACAAGGCUACGGCGAUGGAUUCAGGUGGUUGUCGCAGUACAUGGACUGAUGACUCAGCAGUUCUUGGACUAUUUGCAACAAUACACUUCAUCACGAUUCAAACAUUUAAAAAAAAAAAAGGGUGGAAUCUGCUCGAUAUGACCAAUAAUAUAUGCAAGGAUUUUGCCAAAGAAAAACUUUACAGGGUUUGUUGGGAGUUAUUUUGCAUGUAGGCUUAAUAAAUGCAUGUAAAAUGAAUGGAAAUGUAUGCACAGCUGACUGUGUUUGUGCAAAUAUGCUGCACUUAAACAAAACAGCAGGUCAGAGGUGCAUGCUGUGUUCAAAUGUUUUCAUGAAAAUAGUUUUUUUUUUAGUUUGGUGAAUUCUAAAGUAAUGCCCAAAAUCUUGCAUCAGCAUUGUUCUUUGUUUGAGCACGAUAAAGAAGUCAGCAACAUUUUGACGAGCAUUGAACUAUGAAUUAAACUCAGAAAAAGUUGAUGUAGACUCUAAAUCACCAGUGUCAAACUCAAGGCCCGGGGGCCAAAUCUGGCCCGCCACAUUAUUUUAUGUGGCCCGCGAAAGCCUGGAAAUAAUAUGCGUUAAUAAAAUGCUUAAUCUUUUCUUACUAAAUAUAUUUGUUCUUUUCCUUUUGACAUUAAAAAUCAUGUACUGCAUGCAAUUGCAUAUCUUUUCAAAUUUAAUAUUAUCAAAAUCUAAAUAUUAUAUUUAGAGAUGUCCGAUAAUAUCGGCCGAUAAAUGCUUUAAAAUGUAAUAUCAGAAAAUAUCGGUAUCUUUUUAUUUUUUUUUAUUUUUUUUAUUAAAUCAACAUAAACAACACAAGAUACACUUACAAUUAGUGCACCAACCCAAAAAAACCUCCCUCACCCAUUUACACUCAUUCACACAAAAGGGUUUUUUCUUUCUGUUAUUAUUAUUCUGGUUCCUACAUUAUAUAUCAAUAUAUAUCAAUACAGUCUGCAAGGGAUACAGUCCCAUGUUGGCAUUUUUUUCCAUAGAGUGGAUUUAUUUUGGAAAACCUUGUUACAUUGUUUAAUGCAUCCAGCGGGGCAUCACAACAAAAUUAGGCCUAAUAAUGUGUUAAUUCCACGACUGUAUAUAUCGGUAUCGGUUGAUAUCGAAAUCGGUAAUUAAGAGUUGGACAAUAUCGGAAUAUCGGAUAUCGGCAAAAAAGCCAUUAUCAAACAUCUCUAAUUAUAUUAUCAUGUAUUCAAAAAAUAUUUUUUGUUAAAAUAAAGAUAAAUAUCGUACUUAAAUAUCUGCUUGACUUAUGAUUUCAAAACAAUUUAUCAAUCAAAUUGUAGACUGUAAAAUUGACAAUAGAUUUUACGGUUAAAUUCCGUUUUUUACCGUAAAAUCAACUUUGGAUACUGUUUUUUUCCAUAUACAGUAAGACACUAAAACAUUAAAAAAAAAAAAAACAACAACAUUAAAACAACAAGAUUUUAAGGUAAAAAAAAAACCAACUAAAACUGGCAGCUCUGUUUGAAUUUUACCGCUAAAAACAGUGGUAUUGUUUCUCCAUUCCAUUCCAUUUAUUCAAUUUUUUUAUAUGCUGUAAAAAAAAAUCCACUGCUUUUACUGUAAAAUUCUGGAGACUGAGCUGCCAGUUUUUAAAGUAAAAUUUAAAAUAUUUUUUUUUAUAGCUUAUGUAAAAAAAAAUAUUGUUAAUGUAUUAUAUAUAUAUAUAUACAUGUGUGGAGGGGAUGUUGUCAGCGCUGCCUGCAGGAGCAAAUGUCACCGCCUCUGUCCAUGGUGCUGAGGAUAGAGCACCAUCAGACAGGGGCGUGGCAGUGCUGAUGGCGAGACACAGCUGGCAGUAAGCGGCCGGGAGCAGGAGGAGAGAGAGGAUACGGACGUGGCUGGAAAGUCAUGUUCUACUGGAGAGAAAACUUUUGUAAAACAAUUGAUCAUUAAAACCUUGUUAAACCUGCACGCUUGGCUCCUGUGCUGGGAAGCGACUUCCACAACAUGUAUAUUCAUAUAUUACUCAUUGUUACAAGCGGCCCUC